GGGUCCGGUUCCAGCGGAGCUGCGCCGCCGCCUCCGACGGGCUCUCGAGGGCCGAGAAGACGGUGGCGCCGGCGCUCAGCUGUCUGCCUGCAGAGAGGAACAGAAUGUGCCACAGUGAGUGAUGAAAGGAGGAAAGCAUCUCCUUCAGGACUCUUGGAUAAGUGGCCCGAAUUUGCUAAUGAAGUUGCCAGAGGAUGAUUCCAAAAAGAACUUUCCAGUUAAUGCAAGAGCUCUGUACUGCUUACUUGUACCAGUGAUCAGUGGCAGCCUGAACUGUCUUUGCUUGAGCAUACAUUAAACUCCUCACUCUUCCUGAGCAUUAAGAAGCUACAAAUAAGCAUUUCAAAAAAGCUGUAAAAGGUUUGUGCCUUCUGAAGGGACGUGAAUUGCGUUGCAGUCAGUGGGUGGUGAGCGACUGCUUUUCUUUGCACCACUUGUUUUUCUUGGGCUUUACUUUCCUCUCUGGCUGUUGGUUGAUGGCAGUGUCAUGAGUGAGGGUGUCCAGAAGAAGCUUCCCAGGAUUCAGAAUGAGAGGAUGAUGGCCACAGGGGACUGCAAGCUGCAUUUCUGGAGAAUAUUCUUUAUCCAUCAAUGUCAUUUCAUGAAGUUUGAAGAGUAAUAAGAAGGACUUUGAGAACAAAACACUCUCAGUAAGAAAAAUUGUACCAUUCUGGUAAUCCACUUAUUUAUAAGGUGUGUUUUCACAGGAGAGUUGAGCCUUAAACAGCUUAUUCCUGAAGCCCUUUUUCUCCAUAAGAAGUGUGAUAUAUAUUUUCCCUUAUUAGCUCCACCUGCAUAUUUUUAAAGUACAAUUCCUUUAUAAACCACUAUUUUCUGGAGACAAAUAUCACAGCCCUAUAAGCUGUUCAUCUUCCUGAUGGAAGAGGUAUCCUGCUGUUGCCAGCAUCACAAUUUCCCAUUAGUGGCAUAUUUGCAGCUUGUAGCUAAACAUUAAAUAGACUAUGUUAAACCACAAAUCCCUAUAGAGCGGCUGUUCUGGUCGAACAUUUAAUUAAUUAACAAAAUCCCCAUAGAGCAAGUCAGGCCUCUUAGCUCCUUCACCAAGAGGGGCUGAAUGAUUUUUGGAUGAUUUAUUGUCAUUAAAGGGAAUGUUCAGUCUAGUCUCCAGGGAUCAAUAUGCAUGAAAUAAACUUCAAUGGCUUUGCAAAAACAUAAACACAUUUGUAUCACCCUUAUUUUAUAUGGAUGCAUUUUAUGGUUUAUUAGUUAUAUUUUCACCAUAAGUACUUGGGGUUCUUUUGCAGUGCAUACACUUUUUGUAAAGUAUUUUUAUAAAAUAUGGAACCUUACCAAUCCAUUUAAAAGAAACUGUUUUUUUUGUUUUUGUAUAUUUCUAAACAUAAUUUCUCACUAUGAGCUGCAAUAGCACAGAACAUUUCAAGUGCUUGUGCCCUUUUUCUUCCCUUUAUUCUGGUUUUUUUUUUUGAGAGAAAGGCUAGAACUCUUAAUCCUGACCCACAAGAAAUACAAUAUUUUUAUGCAAUCUUAUCUGUGCUGUGUUGUAAUGCAGGCUAAACCUUGCUUACUAACCUCAGGGUUAGUUGUGGUUAGUACAAUGUAAGUACUUAGACAAAAUGUAAAAGACAAAAGGCCCACACUCAGAGAGAAAUUACUUUCUUCAGGUCACAAGGGAGAUGUAGCAGCAGAGCUGGACCCAGAAAUCUAUGGGGCCAUGUCUUACAAUCCAAUUGCUUGGCAGUAAUAUAUUAUAUAGUUUUUGAUUUGUUUUUUACUGCUACUUUAUUGUGUUACCUGCUAUUAUACAUAAUCAGUCUUUAGUUUUUAACCCAGCAUGCCUUAUUUUCAAGAAAAAUCUGAGUGGAAUGCACAGCAUUCUACGAAGAAACAUAGAUUUUGUGUAUAAGCCUCAAGACAGAACCAUAAUUUCCCUCUAUGACAGGCAGUUGCUUACUAAUAAAAGAGUUUUUCCAACAUUGUACGGGUAAUAAAGAUAAAUAUUCAUGUAGCCUGACUUCACUGCUCAAAUGGACACAUGGUGUUUCAUGCAAGCUGCCACAGUGAUGUCACAUCAAACCCUGAAGAGGUGUUGGCUGCAUGAGUGAAUUACAGCAGAAAGUUGUAGCAGCACCUGUGAGGGUGACGGGGAGUUUGGAACACCCCAAAAUAGGUGUGGUGCUGCCCCUGUAGAUGGAGAUACCAAUGUAGACAUCAAUGUCCUGUAGAGAGAUGUCAGUGUUGAGAACAAGCCCCUGACCUCCUCAUAUUUUCCCCAAAUCACAGUGCAGCAAAGUGAAAUCCUGACUGUGCUAUAAGCUGAGAACACAAGUCCCUCACAAAAAAUCCUGGCCCUGCACAGACCAACCCCAAGAAUCACACCAUGUGCCUGAGAGUGUUGUCCAAUUUUAAAUGAUAACAGCCAGGGGUCCAUCUAUUUUCUUUUUGUCCCCAAGUUCAGUUGUUUGUUUGUUUGCUUUUUUUUUCUCCAGAGCACUUGUACCAGAAUGAAAUUAAUUGGUUUGUCAGUGCAAGCCUAGAAUUUAUUGUGAAAAAAACAGCACAAGCAACAGUAUUUAAUCAUCCACCUUCCAUGUCAGAGCUGGAAUUAGCUCUGCGGAAACUUCUCCUUGCCAUUAAAAUGAGUGGUAACAGAGGAGAACUGGUGUGCACUGGUAGGAGUGAGUCUGCAAAAGAUUCUAAUGUACAGUGAGGGUUUUGAAUAUUAAAUAGAAGUUAAUUUGACAGUACAGGGAGGAGCAGGCUCACCCCAAAGUGGUGUCCAGGCUGGAGAGGUUUCCUGAGGAGACACAGAGAAUCUUAACAAGGCAGCAGCUCCCUUAAAUGUUGGACCCCACUUGUCCAGUAAGUCACUGAUCUGCAACACUUCCUUUAGCCAGUUGUGACAUGGGGCUUUCAAGAUAAUCCCUCCUAUCUGAGGUUUAAUAUUACAUCCAUUUCAAAUGGGAUAAGGCUAAGACUUUGAUCAUGAAACCUCAGCUUAGGCAGAAUGUAAUUCAAAAUGUUGAAAAUAACUUAAGCCUGUAUUUCUUACCUACAGAUUUAAGAAAAGUUUCUUAUUUGGUCUCAACCUAUUUUUUUUCUUCAAACAUGAAGCAAAUACAGGUUAAUUAAAAAAAAACCUGGAAGUGUGUAUAGAACAGCAAAUUUUUCUUUUUCUAAAUGACACUGAUUUGAAUCCAAGCCAGGCUGGGCAUAUAACACAAUUAAAGGUGUUUUUCUGUGGGAACCCAGGAUAUUCCCCUGGUUUCCCUGGAGCCUGUACAGGGGGCUCAGAA